GCGAAAACUUUACAAUGCUGGCAACAGCGAUAAGGGAACCUCGAGUGCCAGGUUACAAAUCUGGCUGUCGAGAUGCCUAAAAAGCAUUUCAUAGCAAGGGCCGGGCAAGACCGGUGCCAGCCGCCGCGGUAACACCGGCGGCUCGAGUGGUAACCGUUAUUAUUGGGUCUAAAGGGUCUGUAGCCGGCCGGAUAAGUCUCUUGAGAAAUCUGGCAGCUUAGCUAUCAGGCUUUCAGGAGAUACUGUCUGGCUCGAGGCCGGGAGAGGUGAGAGGUACUUCAGGGGUAGGGGUGAAAUCUUGUAAUCCUUGAAGGACCACCAGUGGCGAAGGCGUCUCACCAGAACGGACCUGACGGCAAGGGACGAAAGCUAGGGGCACGAACC
rnacentral:rRNA from 1 species